rnacentral:rRNA from 1 species
GAUGAACGCUGGCGGCGUGCCUAAUACAUGCAAGUCGAGCGAACAGACGAGGAGCUUGCUCCUCUGACGUUAGCGGCGGACGGGUGAGUAACACGUGGAUAACCUACCUAUAAGACUGGGAUAACUUCGGGAAACCGGAGCUAAUACCGGAUAAUAUAUUGAACCGCAUGAUUCAAUAGUGAAAGACGGUUUUGCUGUCACUUAUAGAUGGAUCCGCGCCGCAUUAGCUAGUUGGUAAGGUAACGGCUUACCAAGGCAACGAUGCGUAGCCGACCUGAGAGGGUGAUCGGCCACACUGGAACUGAGACACGGUCCAGACUCCUACGGGAGGCAGCAGUAGGGAAUCUUCCGCAAUGGGCGAAAGCCUGACGGAGCAACGCCGCGUGAGUGAUGAAGGUCUUCGGAUCGUAAAACUCUGUUAUUAGGGAAGAACAAAUGUGUAAGUAACUAUGCACGUCCUGACGGUACCUAAUCAGAAAGCCACGGCUAACUACGUG